rnacentral:ncRNA from 1 species
UAUAUUUAUCUCCGAUUCGUUGAAACCUAAGGGAUCAACUAUGGUUUGGCGAACGAUAGGGCUGAUAGGGAAACUGAUCUGCCUCCCGAGUUUGGAAAGGAGAAACUCC